CAAUCCCGAUGUUCAGUGUCUCGUUUUGACAAAACUUCCGCGUUGCUGCUAUCGACAAACUGCCAACACAUUCGUUUUAACUAAGAAGACGUCAUUUAGAAGGCUUUUUAAGGAUUUUGAUUGACUGGUGGCAGAAGGGGUAUGUUAUAUAAAGUGGCAUUAAGGCCUUGCAGACAGAUCUAGACUUAAUAAUAACAUGCUGAAGUUGCAAUUACAGUUUGAUGAAGGCCCACAUGUAAUCCCAUAUUGACGGUUGAAGAACUUGUACCAACAGAUUUCACUUUGGGAUAUAAUGGCAAGUUGGGAUGAGAAACUUCUUACAGCUGCAGAGAAGGGGAAUAUAAAAGAAGUAGAAUCAUGUGUAAAGAACAGAGCUAAUUUGGAAUGUAGAGAUGAUGAUUAUGGAAGGACACCAUUAAUGUUGGCCGCUUGGCGAGGACACCUGGAGGUGGUAAUGUACCUCACUAGUCACGGCAGUCAGUUAGAG